GAGUUUGAUCCUGGCUCAGAUUGAACGCUGGCGGCAGGCUUAACACAUGCAAGUCGAACGAUGAUUACUAGCUUGCCAGUAUGAUUAGUGGCGAACGGGUGAGUAAUGCUUAGGAAUCUGCCUAUUAGUGGGGGACAACAUUCCGAAAGGAAUGCUAAUACCGCAUACGUCCUACGGGAGAAAGCAGGGGAUCGCAAGACCUUGCGCUAAUAGAUGAGCCUAAGUCGGAUUAGCUAGUUGGUGGGGUAAAGGCCUACCAAGGCGACGAUCUGUAGCUGGUCUGAGAGGAUGAUCAGCCACACUGGGACUGAGACACGGCCCAGACUCCUACGGGAGGCAGCAGUGGGGAAUAUUGGACAAUGGGCGAAAGCCUGAUCCAGCCAUGCCGCGUGUGUGAAGAAGGCCUUUUGGUUGUAAAGCACUUUAAGUGGGGAGGAAAAGCUAAUAAUUAAUACCUAUUAGCC
rnacentral:rRNA from 1 species